GCUGGGCGCGGUGGCGCAUGCCUGUAGUCCCAGCUACUCGGGAGGUUGAGGUGGGAGGAUCGCUUGAGCCCAGGAGUUCUGGGCUGCAAUGCGCUAUGCUGAUCAGGUGUCCGCACUAAGUUCAGCAUCAAUGUGGUGACCUCCUGGAAGCAGGGGACCACCAGAUUGCCUAACGAGGGGUGAACUGGCCCAGGUCGGAAACAGAGCAGGUCAAAACUCCCAUGCUGAUCAGUAGUGGGAUCGUGACUGUGAAUAGCCACUGCACUCCAGCCUGGGCAACACAGCGAGACCCUGUCCCU
rnacentral:SRP_RNA from 1 species